rnacentral:rRNA from 1 species
CCUACGGGGGGCUGCAGUGGGGAAUAUUGGACAAUGGGGGCAACCCUGAUCCAGCCAUGCCGCGUGUGUGAAGAAGGCCCUCGGGUUGUAAAGCACUUUCAGUGAGGAAGAACGCCUGGUGGUUAAUACCCAUCAGGAAAGACAUCACUCACAGAAGAAGCACCGGCUAACUCCGUGCCAACAGCCGCGGUAAUACGGAGGGUGCGAGCGUUAAUCGGAAUUACUGGGCGUAAAGCGCGCGUAGGUGGCUUGAUAAGCCGGUUGUGAAAGCCCCGGGCUCAACCUGGGAACGGCAUCCGGAACUGUCAAGCUAGAGUGCAGGAGAGGAAUGUAGAAUUCCCGGUGUAGCGGUGAAAUGCGUAGAGAUCGGGAGGAAUACCAGUGGCGAAGGCGGCCUUCUGGACUGACACUGACACUGAGGUGCGAAAGCGUGGGUAGCAAACAGGAUUAGAUACCCCGGUAGUC